AUGGGUGACAUUUGAGUCUCUGAACAUCUCUCUUGUGAAGAUUUGUGAUAUGUGUGUGUCUUUCUCGGGGGAAGUGUGGCCUGUCAGGCUCGUCCAGCUAUUGUGUCAGUGGAUAUGAAGCGAAAGUGAUAAAGUGUCUUUUGUGUGCCUGUGGUUUUGUGCGGAUCUCUCUCUGGCAGUGACCCCUGGCUGGCCUCCCCUGCGCAGAUCUGGCAGGUUUACGUGCAUUACUUGCAAAGGAUGGACCUGAGCUGUUGUGUUGUGGUGCUCUGAGCUGGCAUUCGCUGCUUCUGCGCGGCACACAAGCCAUUCGCAGGGUCAAGUGCUACACGUCGCAUCCCCUCGAGCUCCAGGUGGAUCCAGCUGAAGUUUUCGCUCUGCCGGCUCAGGGAGUUCAGGAUAUUCGUGUGGGCCUGAGGGCUCUGAGGCCUGGAAGUCGCUUCUUUUACCUCAGUGUUGUUGAUGUGGACACGCGGCAGCUUGUGGACUCCUGGCUGCUGUGCAUAACAUGCCGACAGCCUGUAAUCUCCAAGGCAUUCGAAAUCAGCGUUCCUGUAGAAGGAGGGAAGGGCAGCAAUAAAAAAAUCAGUUUCACAAACCCCUACUCGUCCUCCAGAGUCUUCAAUCUGCGCACAGACCGCCCGGACCUGCUACACUU